GGUAAUCAUAUCUCUGACUCAAAAGUCUCAUGACUUAGGCUAACAUCAAGGAAACGGUGGUCCAGCAACCUCUUCAGGGAGUGGUCCCUCUGUGUAAGUUGGACUUGUCAGCGUCUGUUCUUGUCUCUAAGCCAACAUCACAGAUUGAACUAGAAAGUAUAAAUACCCAGAAAAUAAUCAACUUGGAGGCAAUGUUAGAUAUCCAAGAUCCUGUGUUUAUGAUUGUGUUUAUAUUGGUAAAAGGCAAGUGG